rnacentral:lncRNA from 1 species
CGCCAGGCUGCGAGCAGGGCGGGGACCCGGGGGACUUGGCGCACCUGCCGCGCGCUGCUGGCGCUUCCCGCUCCGCGUGACUCUAGGGCUAACUUCAGGUAAACCAUGCUUCUGGGCUGCAGGAUGCCUCCUGAGAGGGUGGACUACUCUGCUGGAUGGCUUUCCUUUGCCAACCCACUCCUUCCCAGUUGUGCCUCUGUGGACACCGACUUCUGUAGCCCUGUGAUGAACAACUCCAGCAGCCAGGCUCGAUCUGUUUUUACCUCUGUGUGAGAUCUCCCUGCUUUCCUCCAGCUAUCAGGUUCACGAAGAGGCUCCUCCCCUCGCACAUCUUCCUCGGGUCCGUUCUGUUUCCAUGGGAUUUGGGCUGGAUUCAGGAUGAGCACGGAUGAGGAGGAAAAGCCACAGGAAGAGUAAAAAUACCUGGCACUUGACUUCUUCAGACACAGUCUGGAAGAUGUUGUCUUUUCCAUCAACACCCAUGAUCUUAGAAAUAAUGGUUCCUAGUUUACUGAUUUUUCUAAAGUCACUCAGAAUUGGGAGGAGAAAUCAAAAUUUUCUCAUCUCUAAGCAGCUUGACUCAUCAUAACUCCAACCCCUAAAAGGAGUUUGUUCUUGAUGUUGGAAACCAUCUGCAGCUCUGGACCCAGUCUUCCUCAUUCAGUAAUACCAAGUAGAAGUGUGUCCACUGGUCUUAAACCUCUGUCUUCCGUGACCAUUAAACUAUAAACCACAAAAGGAUUCACAGACUUCUCUUCAUUCCCAGAAUUAAGAAAUCCCACUGAGAUCUGGGAUUCAAGGGCACCUCUUGAUUAAAUUUGUCAUUCAAUUGGCUUCCUAUGAAGCUCAAGACUGAAGAAGUUUUUUUCUAUUUGCAAGUAAAGAAAUCAAUAUUUUCAUAA